ACGCUCGACACCUACGGGGGCAGCAGUGGGGAAUAUUGCACAAUGGGGGAAACCCUGAUGCAGCGACGCCGCGUGGAGGAAGAAGGUCUUCGGAUUGUAAACUCCUGUUGUUGGGGAAAAAGAGGAUGGUACCCAACAAGGAAGUGACGGCUAACUACGUGCCACAGCCGCGGUAAUCUGAGCGGGCUGGCAAGGC
rnacentral:rRNA from 1 species